rnacentral:rRNA from 1 species
GAUGAACGCUGGCGGCGUGCCUAAUACAUGCAAGUCGAACGCAUUGUGGUUGAAAUGAUAUGAAGAACUUGUUCAGAUUUGAUUUUCAACAUUGCAAUGAGUGGCGAACGGGUGAGUAACACGUGGGAAACCUACCUCUUAGCAGGGGAUAACAUUUGGAAACAAACGCUAAUACCGUAUAAAUAAUUAAAACCGCAUGGUUUUAGUUUAAAAGAUGGUCUUGCUGUCACUAAGAGAUGGUCCCGCGGUGUAUUAGUUAGUUGGUGAGGUAAUGGCUCACCAAGACAAUGAUACAUAGCCGAGUUGAGAGACUGACCGGCCACAAUGGGACUGAGACACGGCCCAUACUCCUACGGGAGGCAGCAGUAGGGAAUCUUCCACAAUGGACGAAAGUCUGAUGGAGCAACGCCGCGUGUGUGAUGAAGGGUUUCGGCUCGUAAAACACUGUUGUAAGAGAAGAAUGACAUUGAGAGUAACUGUUCAAUGU